UACGGAGGGUGCGAGCGUUGUCCGGAAUCAUUGGGCGUAAAGGGCGCGUAGGCGGCCGCCUAAGUCAGACGUGAAAUCCCUCGGCUCAACCGGGGAACUGCGUCUGAUACUGGGUGGCUUGAAUUCGGGAGAGGGAUGCGGAAUUCCAGGUGUAGCGGUGAAAUGCGUAGAUAUCUGGAGGAACAUCGGUGGCGAAGGCGGCAUCCUGGACCGAUAUUGACGCUGAGGCGCGAAAGCCAGGGGAGCAAACGGG
rnacentral:rRNA from 1 species